rnacentral:misc_RNA from 1 species
UCUCCGUUGGUGAACCAGCGGAGGGAUCAUUAUCGAGUUUAUAACUCCCAAACCCUAUGUGAACUUACCACUUGUUGCUUCGGCGCGCGCUUCGGUGCCGCCGAGGACACUUAAACUCUUUGUUUUUAUAAGCAUUUCUGAGUGGCCGAAAGGCAAAAUACAAAUGAAUCAAAACUUUCAACAGCGGAUCUCUUGGUUCUG